GCGGAGGAAAAGAAACUAACAAGGAUUCCCCUAGUAGCGGCGAGCGAAGCGGGAAGAGCUCAAAUUUAUAAUCUGGCACCUUCGGUGUCCGAGUUGUAAUCUCUAGAAGUGUUUUCCGCGUUGGACCGCACACAAGUCUGUUGGAAUACAGCGGCAUAGUGGUGAAACCCCCGUAUAUGGUGCGGACGCCCAGCGCUUUGUGAUACACUUUCAAUGAGUCGAGUUGUUUGGGAAUGCAGCUCAAAUUGGGUGGUAAAUUCCAUCUAAAGCUAAAUAUUGGCGAGAGACCGAUAGCGAACAAGUACCGUGAGGGAAAGAUGAAAAGCACUUUGGAAAGAGAGUUAACAGUACGUGAAAUUGUUGGAAGGGAAACGCUUGAAGUCAGACUUGCUUGCCGGAGCUUGCUUCGGUUUGCAGGCCAGCAUCAGUUUUCCGGGGUGGAUAAUAACGGUUUGAAGGUAGCAGUCUCGGCUGUGUUAUAGCUUUCCGUUGGAUACAUCCUGGGGGACUGAGGAACGCAGCGUGCUUUUUGCGAAAGACUCGUCUUUUUCACGCUU
rnacentral:rRNA from 1 species